rnacentral:rRNA from 1 species
GCGAAUACCGGAGAAUGUUAUCACGGGAGACACACGGCGGGUGCUAACGUCCGUCGUGAAGAGGGAAACAACCCAGACCGCCAGCUAAGGUCCCAAAGUCAUGGUUAAGUGGGAAACGAUGUGGGAAGGCCCAGACAGCCAGGAUGUUGGCUUAGAAGCAGCCAUCAUUUAAAGAAAGCGUAAUAGCUCACUGGUCGAGUCGGCCUGCGCGGAAGAUGUAACGGGGCUAAACCAUGCAC